rnacentral:sRNA from 1 species
GGAUUACUCCUUUACGCUUUCGCGUUUGGUUGAUAAAGAUUCGCACCUCUAUCAAACCGGGUAAUCCCACCUCUUGGCAAGACCUGCUGUCAGAUCAAAUCUGAACUACUACACAUGAUUGGACAAAAACGUACCACAGAAAACCACUGUCUCCAAAGAGAGACAAACAAUACUCAACAAAUACAAACGAUUAUCAGUAU